CCCUUGCAGAUCCCUUACCCAUCAGACCUAAACCUUGUUCUGAACGGCUAUAAAAGGAAGAAAUGUAAGAGUGAGAAUGACUGGGAUACUUUUGUGACACACAGGGUGGUUUCAAACAAAC
rnacentral:snoRNA from 1 species